rnacentral:sRNA from 1 species
UGCCCUUCUCAAAUUCUGCCUUCCCGGAUGUUCCAUAUGUAAGGUCCCCUCCCUCACUGCAGCCCAGAUCCACGGCCUUCCUGGAUGGUUCGUCUUCCUGGGAAGCUGUUUCUGUCGGGGCUGCCGCGUCCCCAGCCCCCGUGACUGACUCUCCCUCUGCUCUCUUCCUUGCAGGGCCUGAUCAAGAUCCAGGGGACCGGUGCUGGCGAGACCUCACCUGCAUGGACUUCCACUAUGAGACCCAGCCGGUGCCCAAUCCUGUGGCAUACUACCUGCACCACUCGCCCUGGUGGCUCCACCGCUUCGAGACGCUCAGCAACCACUUCAUCGAGCUCCUGGUGCCCUUCUUCCUCUUCCUCGGCCGGCGGGCGUGCAUCAUCCACGGGCUGCUGCAGAUCCUGUUCCAGGGCGUCCUCAUCAUCAGCGGGAACCUCGGCUUCCUGAACUGGCUGACCAUGGUGCCCAGCCUGGCCUGCUUCGAUGACGCCACCCUGGGAUUCUUGUUCCCCUCUGGGCCGGGCAGCCUGAAGGACCAAGUUCUGCAGAUGCAGAGGGAAAUCCGAGGUGCCCGGUCCAAACCCAGAUUCGGCUCCGUGG